GACGUAGGGAGCGAGCGUUGUCCGGAUUCAUUGGGCGUAAAGAGCGCGUAGGCGGCCGUGCAAGUCGGUUGUGAAAUCCCGGGGCUCAACCCCGGGACUGCGUCCGAUACUGCACGGCUCGGAGGCAGGUAGGGGAGAGUGGGAAUUCCCGGUGUAGCGGUGAAAGUGGCGCAGAUAUCGGGAGGAACACCGGUGGCGAAGGCGG
rnacentral:rRNA from 1 species